rnacentral:rRNA from 1 species
AGUGAACGCUGGCGGUAGGCCUAACACAUGCAAGUCGAACGGCAGCACAGUAAGAGCUUGCUCUUACGGGUGGCGAGUGGCGGACGGGUGAGGAAUACAUCGGAAUCUACUUUUUCGUGGGGGAUAACGUAGGGAAACUUACGCUAAUACCGCAUACGACCUACGGGUGAAAGCAGGGGAUCUUCGGACCUUGCGCGAUUGAAUGAGCCGAUGUCGGAUUAGCUAGUUGGCGGGGUAAAGGCCCACCAAGGCGACGAUCCGUAGCUGGUCUGAGAGGAUGAUCAGCCACACUGGAACUGAGACACGGUCCAGACUCCUACGGGAGGCAGCAGUGGGGAAUAUUGGACAAGGGGCGCAAGCCUGAUCCAGCCAUACCGCGGGGGUGAAGAAGGCCUUCGGGUUGUAAAGCCCUUUUGUUGGGAAAGAAAAGCAGCAGGUUAAUACCCCGCUGUUCGGACGGUACCCAAAGAAUAAGCACCGGCUACUUCGUG